GGUUGAGCAGUUUCACCAGACGCAUGACACGGAAAAGCCGGAAGAGUGUGAUUGAUACGCUCAUAUUCUCAGAGUCCUGAGGAACCAAGAAAAUGCUUGAGAAUCUGUGGAUAACACCGGCAUAGAUCGUCUUGAACAGCCAGUGAGACAAUAUAGUCCACCCUGAGCAGCAAGAGCCGCCUGGAAAUAAAGAAAAUACCAGAGGAAAUGAGUGAAAGCCAAUAUAAGCGCACUCCCAGUGAAUGACACAACAGGUCACACAUUAGCAGUUUUCCGGCAGCAGUCUAUAAAUGGAGGGCUCACCUUUGCUUUGAAGGCUCCAAGUUUGAGGAUCAUUUCUACUGUAAACAGUACAGUGAAGAUGACGUUCAGCAUGUCUGAAAGAUGGG